rnacentral:rRNA from 1 species
GACGAACGCUGGCGGCGUGCUUAACACAUGCAAGUCAAGGACCGUAGCAAUACGGGACUGGCGCACGGGUGCGGAACACGUAGGCAAUCUGCCCUUCAGGGAGAACAACCAGCCCGGAAAGGUUGGCUAAAUCUCCGUAAAAUCAUCGAGUGGCAUCACUUAUUGAUCAAAGUUUUCUGAAGGAUGAGCCUGGCGUCUGAUUAGCUAGUUGGCGGGGUAACGGCCCACCAAGGCUACGAUCAGUAGCUGGUCUGAGAGGAUGAUCAGCCACAUUGGGACUGAGAUACGGCCCAGACUCCUACGGGA